ensembl:lncRNA
GUAUGUGUUACUCACCAAAGUUUUGUCCGCAUCUCCCUGUGUGUCAGUUCCAGGUUCCAUGAUGCUUCUGUUACUGCAGCUCAGACCUCAACAUGUCUAAAAAACACACACAUACACACAUUCAGAGCUGUGUCAGUCUAAAAAAAAAACACUCCUAAAAUAACUAAUUCAGGUCAUCUGCUUUCUGACCUACUUCCUGUUUUACAGAACAAACUUCCUAAAAUCGGCUGAAGUGAGAUUAAUGCAAUGCACUAAUCUGUUACACAGGGAACCUCAACUGUUAAACACCACAACAUUACAACACAACGUUACACCACAACAUUACAACACAACGUUACACCACAACAUUACAACACAUCAUUACACCACAACAUUACAACACAUCAUUACACCACAACAUUACAACACAACAUUACAACACAAUGUUACAACACAAUGUUACACCACAACAUUACACCACAACAUUACAACACAACAUUACAACACAAUGUUACAACACAACGUUACACCACAACAUAACAACACAUCAUUACACCACAACAUUACAACACAACAUUACAACACAAUGUUACAACACAACGUUACACCACAACAUAACACAACAUUACAACACAACAUUACAACACAUCAUUACACCACAACAUUACAACACAUCAUUACACCACAACAUUACAACACAACAUUACAACACAAUGUUACAACACAACGUUACACCACAACAGUACAACACAACAUUACAACACAAUGUUACAACACCAGACUACAACAUUACAAUCGAAUGUUACACCACAACAAUACAACACAACAUUACAACACAAUGUUACAACGCCAUAUUACAACAACCUUACAACUCAGGAUGUCACGAGAACCGAUAGUUCGGUACUGCCACGUUUCGUGACGCAACGGAGAUAAGGUAGGAUGCAAGCACAGUGUGAACAGUUUUAUUGAGAGACACACAGGCAGGUAAAUCCAGAACGUGAUCCAAAAACGUAAUCCAGUAACAUGCAAGGUUCAGGCGAUCGGCAAACAGGCAUAAACGAGGCAAGGCAGGAAUCAACGUCGUGGUCACGGGAUACAGGGUCGAUAUACCAAACAUGAAACAGAAACAGCAGCGAGGGACUGGUAGCGGAGAAACCAGCGUGAAC